AUCCCCUUCAGGAGACGAGCAACCACAUGAAGACUGGGAAUUGUCUGCGUCCUAGUGUGGCCAAGGCCCUGCUGUCCUGUGGCCCCGAACGUCAGCUCCCACGAUGCAGACUUUGCAAGUCUCGUCAUCCACUCUUCCAGAAUGCGGACGAACCGGGCGGAGAACCCCACCCACGCAGAGCGAAAGUUCCUGACUCGGAGCCCCAUUCAUCCUCGUGCUGUGAAGCCUACGCAUUUGUCAGCUUAGGUGAAGCCCCUGUGCCGACCGCAAGCAGCGGUGCUGUGAAGUAUUGACUGAG
rnacentral:lncRNA from 1 species